rfam:Hordeum vulgare subsp. vulgare, WGS project CAJW01000000 data, contig: morex_contig_37545
CUUAUACUCCGUUUGUCCCAAAUUGUUUGUCUUAGAUUUGUCUAGAUAUGAAUGUGUCUAGUCAUGUAUUAGUAUUUAGAUACAUCAAUUUUUAUAUAAACCUAAGACAAGAAUUUUGAGACGAGGGAGUAGUAU